AACGGGUGGUAAUGCCGGAUGCUCCAUCACAUCGCAUGGUGUUCUGGGAAAGCCUUUGCGGCAUGGGAUGGGGUCGCGUCCUAUCAGCUUGAUGGCGGGGUAACGGCCCACCAUGGCUUCGACGGGUAGCCGGCCUGAGAGGGCGACCGGCCACAUUGGGACUGAGAUACGGCCCAGACUCCUACGGGAGGCAGCAGUGGGGAAUAUUGCACAAUGGGCGCAAGCCUGAUGCAGCGACGCCGCGUGAGGGAUGGAGGCCUUCGGGUUGUAAACCUCUUUUGUUAGGGAGCAAGGCAUUUUGUGUUGAGUGUACCUUUCGAAUAAGCACCGGCUAACUACGUGCCAGCAGCCGCGGUAAUACGUAGGGUGCAAGCGUUAUCCGGAAUUAUUGGGCGUAAAGGGCUCGUAGGCGGUUCGUCGCGUCCGGUGUGAAAGUCCAUCGCUUAACGGUGGAUCCGCGCCGGGUACGGGCGGGCUUGAGUGCGGUAGGGGAGACUGGAAUUCCCGGUGUAACGGUGGAAUGUGUAGAUAUCGGAAAAGAACACCA
rnacentral:rRNA from 1 species